GACGAACGCUGGCGGCGUGCUUAACACAUGCAAGUCGAACGAUGAAGCUAGAGCUUGCUCUGGUGGAUUAGUGGCGAACGGGUGAGUAACACGUGAGUAACCUGCCCCGAACUCUGGGAUAACUGCUGGAAACGGUAGCUAAUACCGGAUAUGACCAAUGAAGGCAUCUUCUGUUGGUGGAAAGAAUUUCGGUUCGGGAUGGACUCGCGGCCUAUCAGCUUGUUGGUGAGGUAACGGCUCACCAAGGCGACGACGGGUAGCCGGCCUGAGAGGGUGAUCGGCCAACAUGGGACUGAGACACGGCCCAGACUCCUACGGGAGGCAGCAGUAGGGAAUAUUGCACAAUGGGCGCAAGCCUGAUGCAGCAACGCCGCGUGAGGGAUGACGGCCUUCGGGUUGUAAACCUCUUUUGGCAGGGAAGAAGCGAAAGUGACGGUACCUGCAGAAAAAGCACCGGCUAACUACGUGCCAGCAGCCGCAGUAA
rnacentral:rRNA from 1 species